CGUUGAAUUGCUGCUAUUGACAUAACUGUAUCGAACUGUCCUUCUGCAAGACUGCGAGCAGGAGGAAGAAACCAUGUCGCGUCUGCUUUCAGGCUGUGUUUUAUCUCGUCAGGUAUGACUCCGAGUGCUAUCUGAAUCGUCCUCGCUGCCCCUAACCUGCAUGUGGCGCCUAUGGAAGCUCCGCAAUGAGCCUGCACCUUCAAUGACCUUGUCAACUCAGACGUGGCUUCGUAAGAAGGGCUAGCUAGGCCUACAGUUCGUUGCCCUUCCUUUGAGUGCAUGUUCCAGAAGAAGAAAAUCCAAACAAGUAAGAUGGAGGCGAAGGGGGUGCGGCAGGACUUGGGUUGUGGUGCCGGCGGGCGAGAUGCUCGGCGCCAAACUCGCCCAAGGUCGUCGGCUGGGAGGAGCUGCAGCAGGAGCUCGCGCGUCUCUGGAGCCUCUCCGCCGCCAGGGACUGCAAGACCGGCCUCGAAUCCGCGCUCGAGUUAGUUUGCAUGUUUUGUUAGCUGUUGGUAUUGCUCGAUCUACUUAGGGUGUUCCUCCUUUGCUUUGCUCGAUCGUUAAUAAUGGCGAUCUUGGGUGUGCUCUGCUUUUGGUUUGCUUUGCCCAUGGACCAGGAUAAUUGGUGAAUUAGGUGCAUUUCCUUUCAUAUGUCGGGGUCUUCCACAUCCUUCAGUUUGGACGUGGCCUUUCGUUCCUCCGUUAGCUCCUUGUUUAGUGUUUACUUGCCGUGUUCUGUGUCUGGUAACCAAUGGGCCCUUAGUUGUUCUUGACUUGCAAAAGAAAAUGCUGCAUCUGAUUCAUCAUGCCACUGAUUGAACCGUACGUUAUGCGUUUUAUGAAUUAUUAUAAAAUUCGCAGGUUUAGUUAAUUAGUAGCUUUUACAAAGAGGUUGCUAAUUAACCAAGACAACUGAAGUACCUCAACAACAAAAGGCAGUGGUAAUUGAUGCAGCAAAUCUGCAAUUGUAUGGAAAUAUAUUGACCAGCAAGUUCAGACUUCUUCUCAUAAUUUCAUACCGAUUCCUUAUAUGAUUUUCAAGUUACUUUUCUUAUCUUUGAGUACUUUCAGUUCCAUUUCUAAUACCUGGCAAUUCAUUUUAGGUUAUCAUUCCAUUGCAAGAUAUAAAUGUGAUAAAAAGGAGCCAACAUUCCCUUAUCAACCCAGCCAUUACUAGAUAUCUUCACACCGGCGCGGGUGGUCAUGGAGCACCUCCUUUGUGCGGCCAACAAAAUGAUUAGUAAGUGGUAUGCUUCAGAUAAGUACAGUGGCAAUGUUCGUGAAGUAACUUUCAGGUCGCCAUGCCACGGUCCUUUAUGUCGUAUAGACACCGCGGUUACAGGAUUGCAGCACACUUCUUUCUCAAAGGACAAAAGAAACUUGAUAUAUGAAAACAAAGCAGCAGGCACACACGUUCCAUUUGGCUCUUGCUUUGAGUGGCAGGUAUGGGGAUGGAUCAUGAAGACCUCUACGUCUGCACUGGGUUGUUGUUUGUUCAUUAAGGGGAAUGUGAUGUGAAGAUGGUGAGGAACUAGAUGGCAUGGAGUGAUUCACAGUUUGUGCUGAGAGCAACAUGGGCGUGCCUAGGAAUCGAGGAGGCCCCUUGUAAUUCUUUUCCCUGGUGCACUGCACCUAAUAUUGCCUUGUGUGCGGGCUAUCCUUCUGCAGGGAUUGUGGGUAAUGAGUUGCAAACAUACUAUGCAAUGUAAUGAUGUAAUAAUGAUUCCAAUAAUCUCACUGGCCAUCAAAAUCAAUACUAGUUUAUA